AUGUGGAAGAAAGAGAAGGCAAAUGCCCAUGACCAGCCCCGUGAGGGGCAGUCACUGCUAUCCAAGCAGCAAAAGGUGACCCACAGCCAGCCACAGGGACCACCUCAGGUCACCUCAACAAUCAAGAUGCCACGCGGCAGUGUCACACAGACACAGAGACUGUCUGUGUCCGACUUGCCGCCUCUCCAUGGCCCUCAACUGCCACUGGAACCUCCUUGCCAGCUCAGCCCUCAAAUGCAAAGAGCAGCCUCUGCAAGGCUCAAGCUGCCCCCUCUGCCAGCAGCAGCAGCCUCUGGGUCUCCUCCCAGAGGCACAGCACAUGUUGUGGGCUCUGUGGCCAGUGGCUACCAAGAGCUCAUGACACCUUCACCAUGGGGAACUCUGGCUGCUGGUGGGGCCUGGGAAACACCUUCCCUGGCAAGCAGAACAGAAGGGUUCUGGCAUGGGUCAGCGGCAAGGCAGGACCAUCGCCUGCCACCCGUGCAACCCGCACACAGCGUGCAGAUCUGCACUGGGAGCCAGCCGGCUUGGCAGCACCUGGGGCACUCUGAGACAGAGGUGCUCCUCAAGCUUCUGGAAGGGCAUGGUAGCAGCACCUGCAGUGAUGUGUUCAGAGACCUGGGCCCGUGUCUUCGUGAGAACAGGCCCAUCGAGUCCACCCAGAGAACCACAAAGUGGUUGAGUGGGCGCCAAGGGGCAGAGGCAAUUCAUCGUCCAGCCAAGCAAAGUGCGCAUCGCAAGCAGCUGUGCCCAGAGGAUGACGAGGCUGUGAUGCUUCGUCUCUGUAAAAUGAGUAAGCAGCUGGAGGAGAUGGAAGACAAAGUGUAUGAUGUGAUGUUUAGAGACAUCUUCUCCUCCCUAGAAGACAAAGAAAGCCCCGUAAGGUCCACAUGCAUCUCCAGGGAUCCACCAAGCCCCACCCUGAAGCCAGCUGUAGGCCCCUCGGACCUGCACAGUGCAUCCAGCGUGACGGAAGUUGCUGCAGGAGAGACACAAAAGUUCUCCCAGCUUGUGUCUCUUGACCAGUUGUUGGCCGAGCUGGACCCUGUCGCAGACAACUCCAUGCCUUCUGAUGCUCUCGUCAAGGGCUCCACAGGAGAGGCAGAAAACAACACAGAGAUUGCACAUCCUGACCUGUUGGAACAGCUGUGCUCUGUCUCUGGGGACUCGCCAUCAAGUACCCUUCUAAACCAGGUACUGGAAAUAUGGGAUGAAGAAGAGCUCCAUGACAGAGCAGCACCAGGAGAGAUGCAGAGUGAGCCAGAGAGCGCGCUGUCUCUCCCAACACAGGAAGAAGAAGAGGAAGAGACAGCACCAGCGGCAGACGGUGAUCCCUGCAAUGAGGGGCACAGCGAGCCUCUCCCCAUGGCUCUUCCUGAAGAGGCAAAGAUGUCUCUGGUUUGUGCCUCGCCUGCCGAAACCGUGGAGGAGAUUGAAGUGGAAUGGCUUGAGGCUGGCUGUGCCCAGGCCGCCCCUCCCCAGGAAGAGCCCCGCAGGGCUGGGGAGCCGGCAGGGGCUUGCCCGCUGCCUGCCCAGCCCCUGGCACGCAGCGCUCCUGCUUGCCCCGCCGGCAGCGCAGCCGUCCCGCAGCCCCCGGCCCCACGGCCAUGGCGCUCCAUCGCCAAGACGGCCCGGCGGGCUCUGCGCCGCCUCUUCUC
rnacentral:lncRNA from 1 species